rnacentral:ncRNA from 2 species
GAAGCAAGUAGAGGCGCAUCGCGUUAUCACUACGCCGGAUGAGGGGGCACCCGAAGAUCCCGGCGGAAAGGAGCCGAUGCCGAAGAGACCCGGAUGGCGAUCCCGGUCUCUGGGGCUGCAUUGAACAAGUGCAGCACUGCCAUAGGAAUUCCCCGUCUGCGCGGGGGUAACAAUGACUAUGGAGCGCUACUGAGGUA